GUGGAUGUGCCGGAGUGGUUAUCGGGCAUGACUCGAAAUCAUGUGGGCUUUGCCCGCGCAGGUUCGAAUCCUGCCAUCCACG
rfam:Selaginella moellendorffii unplaced genomic scaffold SELMOscaffold_10, whole genome shotgun sequence.